rnacentral:lncRNA from 1 species
CCAGGAUCAACCUUAAAUCUUUCUUCUUGUGAUAGAUCCUUCUUCUCCAAAUAAGAUCUUGAUCUCUUUGAAUCUUGAUCAACUAUUGAUCUUGACUGCAAUCACAAUCCUUGAACUGUAGACUUUUCUCUUUAAUUAUUCUUUGCUGUAGAAGAGACUCUUCUCAACUCAGGCGUGUGGGAUGAUGGACGCCCAACCCUUGAGAGUUGGAAAGAGAAGAGGG